rnacentral:rRNA from 1 species
CCGCCCGCCCGCCCCGCCGCCGCCGUCGGCCCCCGCGCCUGCCUGCCCCCGCCAUGUCGUCCUCCGCCGCCGCGAGCGCGUGGCGGCGCUCCCUCCGCGGCGCCCUCCUGCGCGGCUCCCCGUGGCGCGCCUCCGCCCCCGCCCCCGCCGGCGCCCGGCAGGCCAGCAGGACGGUCUCCGCCGUCGCAGCGCCCAUUAAGGUGCCCCCGCCUCCCCGCAAGGGUAGGCUUUUGACUGGGGCCAUGAUAGGAUUGGCCAUUGCUGGAGGUGCUUACGUGAGUACUACUGACGAGGCCACGUUUUGUGGGUGGCUAUUCAAAUCAACAGAACUCGUGAAUCCACUUUUUGCGCUACUAGAUGCAGAGUUUGCUCAUCGUUUGGCUGUUUCUGCUGCGGCUCAUGGAUUUGUCCCAAGAGAAAAGAGACCUGAUCCACCAGUUCUUGGGAUAGAGGUUUGGGGAAGGAACUUUACAAAUCCAAUUGGUCUUGCUGCUGGUUUUGAUAAGAAUGCUGAGGCUGUGGAGGGUCUAUUGGGUCUUGGAUUUGGCUUUGUGGAAGUUGGCUCUGUAACACCUCAGCCUCAAGAGGGGAAUCCUAAGCCGCGAAUAUUCAGAUUGAAAGAGCAUGGUGCUGUAGUCAAUCGCUGCGGGUUCAACAGUGAAGGAAUUGUUGUAGUUGCUAAGCGUCUUGGGGCACAACAUGGUAAGAGGAAGAUGGAGGAAACUUCGAGCUCCAGUGAUGUAAAGCAAGGAGGGAAAGCAGGCCCUGGGAUUUUGGGAGUCAAUCUUGGCAAGAAUAAGACUAGUGAAGAUGCUGGUGCUGAUUACGUGCAAGGAGUUCAUUCGUUGUCGCAGUAUGCUGAUUACCUGGUCAUAAAUGUUUCUUCCCCAAAUACUCCUGGUCUUCGCCAAUUGCAAGGUAGAAAGCAGCUGAAAGAACUUGUGAAGAAGGUGCAAGAUGCACGAGAUGAGAUGCAGUGGGCUGAAGAUGGUCCACCACCAUUGCUUGUGAAGGUCGCACCAGACUUGUCGAAGCAGGAUCUUGAGGACAUUGCUGCUGUUGCUCUUGCUUCCAAGUUAGAUGGCCUGAUUAUAUCGAACACAACAAUUUCAAGGCCGCCUCCUGCAGACGCACAUCCAUUAGCUCAGGAAGCCGGCGGAUUAAGUGGGAAGCCUCUGUUUGACUUAUCUACUCAAGUUCUCAGGGAUAUGUAUAUCCGUACAGGCGGCAAGGUUACCCUGAUAGGCUGUGGUGGUGUAACUAGCGGCGAGGACGCAUACAAGAAGAUACGUUCUGGAGCUACGCUUGUUCAGCUUUACACCGCACUUGCAUACGGAGGUCCAGCUCUCAUCCCGAGAAUAAAGGCCGAGCUCGCAGAAUGCUUGGAAAGAGACGGCUUCAAAUCUGUCCAGGAGGCAGUGGGAGCAGACUUCAAGCCCUUGAAGGCCUGAACACCAGCCGAGAUCCUCCUUUGGGACGGUAGCAGAAUUUUUCCCAUGAGCGUGCUUUUGCCCUACUCACUCACUCGGACGCUACUCGAAAAGCAAGCGAAACCAAGUCGAAACUAUUUUGAGGGUGUGUUACUAAUCAUACAGCCUUUAGUAAGUACGUACUGGUCUACGUGCCACCGGUGCAUCCAUGGAUGAUGGCAUUCGGUUCUUGUUUCCUUGUGAGCGAGCUGCACAAGAAAUUUUAGUUAACUCAUGUGUAUAUCUCCAGGCUUCCUUCCCUGUGGUGAAACAAUGGCCGGUUUACGAAUUGUGCUAGGAUAUUGAUCUGAAGCUGCUGCAUUUUGCCUCUGUCGGUCUCUGUAGCACUAUGCAAAAGUUAUAUAAUGCCCGUGUUUUCUGGUUUAAUAUGCUUAGCUGAAUUGAUCGUUGCUGGUGGGUUUGGACUUGGUGUCUGUUGCAGUUAUAAUCCUGGUGACCGU